rnacentral:rRNA from 1 species
UACGAAGGGGGCUAGCGUUGCUCGGAAUCACUGGGCGUAAAGCGCACGUAGGCGGACUCUUAAGUCAGGGGUGAAAUCCUGGAGCUCAACUCCAGAACUGCCUUUGAUACUGGGAGUCUUGAGUUCGGGAGAGGUGAGUGGAACUGCGAGUGUAGAGGUGAAAUUCGUAGAUAUCAAGAGGAACACCUGAGGUGAAGACGGGUUGCUGGGCCGACACUGACGCUGACAGCGCGAAAGCCAGGGGAGCAAACGGG